rnacentral:rRNA from 1 species
GAUCAUGGCUCAGGAUGAACGCUAGCUACAGGCUUAACACAUGCAAGUCGAGGGGCAGCGGGGUGUAGCAAUACAUCGCCGGCGACCGGCGCACGGGUGAGUAACGCGUAUGCAACUUGCCUAUCAGAGGGGGAUAACCCGUCGAAAGACGGACUAAUACCGCAUGAAACAGGGGUCCCGCAUGGGGAUAUUUGUUAAAGAUUACAUCGCUGAUAGAUAGGCAUGCGUUCCAUUAGGUAGUUGGUGGGGCAACGGCCCACCAAGCCGACGAUGGAUAGGGGUUCUGAGAGGAAGGUCCCCCACACUGGUACUGAGACACGGACCAGACUCCUACGGGAGGCAGCAGUGAGGAAUAUUGGUCAAUGGGCGAGAGCCUGAACCAGCCAAGUCGCGUGAGGGACGAAGGCCCUACGGGUUGUAAACCUCUUUUAUAAGGGAAUAAAGGGCGCCACGUGUGGCGUAUUGCAUGUACCUUAUGAAUAAGCAUCGGCUAACUCCGUG